AUGACUGGCCACAGAAACAAUGGAGAACCAGGCUUUGCCGAGAGAGGAGUGUGGACCAGGCCCCAGGGUACCAGCCUUAGGCCUGGCCAGGAGCUUUGGGACAGCCCAGCUGGACGGUCAGAGGAGGGGCUUGUCCGGUCCAUCUGGGCCCCCAACAUUUCUGCUUCAUCAUCUCGUGGCCACAAGCAAAGUGGGCACAGUGGGGUUGGGGGACAGCAGCAUUUUAGCCAUCCACUUCCGCUGGGGGAGUCCGAGACUGCCCAGGGCUGCAGCAGUCACAGCCUCUGUUUGCGGAACCUGGGGUUCCUGUGGGUCGAUUGCAUUCACCCAAUUGUGGGUGGGGGCCCAUUACCCAAAAGAAGAAAAUGGUAUUUGACCUCUGACCAAGACCGUGGCCUGGGGCUUCUGCCUCUUGGGACAGGACCUGCGGCCCUGCUCACAGCUGGCCUGGAGAUGAGGGGGCCACAGGCUGGGAGGGGAGGCUCCCUCCUCACUCCCCAGGCCGCCAUCAGAGUUCAGCUCAGCGACAGCAACGGACCUGGAGGUAGGUGUGCAAGGAGCGGGCCCCAGCCUUACACCCACGUCAUUCUGGGCGCGGGCUUCACCCCCUGGCCUUGGUUUGGGGAGGAGCCUCUGCUUUCCCAUCUUGAGGGGUGCACAGCACUCCCGCCGUCAUCAGUUGGGACCCCCACUGUCCACCGAGGGGGCUUGUCGUCACUCAGCUGUGUUUUCUUCGUUCUCUGCAAUCGCAUGAGCCAAGCCGGGGCCAACCCGGGUGGAAGGCUCCAGGAAGCGGCCAACACAACAUUCCUGGCCUCGGGAAGCCCCUGGGCUGAGUCCAGGGUCCCGCGACGUGGCGGAAGGCGCACACUGCUGAGGAGCCCUCCCUGCCCGCGGCACACCGAUGCUCGCCCAGCCUCCCCUCCGGCGCUGCCCUGUGCGACAUCCCACUCUGGGACCACUUCUGCAUCUGUCCAGAUGCUUCUGACUGCAAACCCAGGUCCAUUCUCCAGGGGUGUCUCCUGCCAGCUCAGAGAGCAAGUCGGCACCACUGCCUGGUGCGACCAAGACACGGACAGGACUCUGAUCUGGGCCCAGCUGAGCCAGGAGCCCAGAUGA
rnacentral:lncRNA from 1 species